GAUGAUAGAGAAAAUAUCAUGCAAACAUAAUUUGCCUUCUGUGAAAACAGAUGCAGAGAAAAAAAAGGCUCAAAGAAGAACGAAUGACUUGCUUUGGAGACAUCUGAGAAGUCCACUGAAAGAGCUAAUGAUGGGAUCAAGGGGCAUUUGUAUAUGAAUUCAACCGUAUUAUAUCAAGAAAGGCUGCUUUUGCAACAGAUGCUUUGAGAUCACCACAAUAUGCUUGCACUGAACUUCUAGCCACAGGGUUACAUGUGUGUUUUGGACUGGUUAGGAGAUGGCAAACAGCAGAGUGGCCAGACCAGCUCCAGCCCGAAAAGGGUGACGACCAGACACCAAGAGCUCCUGUCUCGAUGUCGUCUGUGGUCAAGCACUAACUGCAUUAAAUUAGACUGCUUUUAAUUGAGGAUUGACUGGUCUGAGAGCAGCUGGUGCUUGGGUCAGUCAAGAUAGCAAAGCCUGAAUCCCCCAGGCCCCAACUGCAAUUUCAGCCCUGCAGGUCCUGGAAUGGACUGGGAGGGAGAAAAGGCCAGAGCAUGCUGGGAAUGCAUGGCUGAUGAUUAGCAAUAAGAGUUUAUAGGAAGGCUUAGACGAGAUUUGGCUUGUUUGCUUGAGUGGAAAGUGUAACUCACACACUCAGAGUCUGUAGACUCAGUGUAAAUCCGCUUAAGGUUUGCACCUUGCUGAAAAUCUCCUCAAUCGACACAAUUAAUCGCUUCAUUAAUUAACAAUCGCUGCACGAUACACCACCCCGACUGCGUCCUGGCAAGCGUGCAACUUACAAGCGACCCUUCUUUUUCUUCUUAUGUUCCCUUCUUUCACUCUUCCCACCCGCUCUGAUACUCCUCUUUUUAUCUUUUUCUUCUGCACGCCUUUUCUUUUCCUUCUCUAAGCAGCAUUGCCGAUGCAGACUCUGCUGUUUUAGCAUGAACAGACACACUUUUCUUUCAGCAAGCAGGUCAGAGCGCUCUGCUAACAUUUGUUAUCUAUAAUCCUGCAGGUCCCCACGCAAAAAGAGCGUAGUUAACUCUUGCAAAGCCCUAAUCCCUCCAUUUCUUUUAGAUGCGCUUUCUCUCUCAUGCUCUUUUCUUUUCCAUCUUUGGGGUGGGGAAGUGUUUUUUAAGAGGAGGCAUCUUUGACUGUGGCCCUUAUUUUUGAGUUCUUCUGAAUUACCAAACUUCUUUAACCUUCAAAAUUAUCUACCUUUUCUGCCAAUUAAAAAUAUUUAGAUUUUUUUGUUUUUUAUCACACUCCAAUGCUGAAGAAUCGUUUCGGGCUGCCACCAGCCGCCCAUGCUUUUAUGACAGGCUUUGUUGAUUUGUUUUUCAUACUCCUUGUGUGCAGAAAUCUGUGUAUUCAUACUGUAUGCAUUUACGGUUCAACUGUCGGUGUCAGUUAAUCUGGCUUGUGCUGUUGAUUUAUCUCAGUAACAUUCAAGGAUCUGUGCAAAAAAAAAAAAUUUUUUUUUUCUUUUGCCAUCACUCUCAAUUAUAUAUGCGCUGAUUUGAUUUGAGUUUGAUACUAUGGAAAUUAUGUAUAUGAAUGCUCUCGUGCAGUUCUGCUGCAUUUUGUCUUGGUCAUGCACACCCACACAUGUAGUGAGCACGUUGAAGUGUGUGUGUGUGUGUGUGUGUGUGUGUGUGUGUGUGUGUGUGUUGUAUGGUGAGUAAUAGCAGGGCUCAGUGGAAGGCUGUAGUGUUGACAGCAUGGUAAACGAUGCAGCCUGCCUACUGCAGCAGCUAGCCUGCUAAUCACACACACCACAUGAUAAUGAGAACAACCCCUGUCCUCCAACACACACACAUACGUCUAACCACAGCAAACAGACACAAACUCCCUCUCACACACACUGACCCAUACUUCUACAGACAAAUGGAAGACAUAAUGGUAGCCGGAGGCAGUGCACGGUGAAUCUCUCUAUCUCUCUCUCUUACACUCUCGAACCAAGCACAUCUCUAUCGCUUUACUGUCCUUACACACAUACAUACACUCUUCUCUCUCAUACUAACAUCUUUCUGUCAGAAAAGACUCGGACUUGAGCCACACUUACACUAAGAAAGUGACUUGAGAUUUGAUGUAGAAUCACAGGCAGUUAAGAUGGGACUUCAGAGACUUGUAAGUUUUUAGGUCUACAAGGCAAUGUGUUUUCUUGAAACAACCCAACAUUUUAUAGAGUGUUUGAUCAGAAAUACAAUAAAAACAAUAAAAAGUAUUAUUGGAAAAUAUUA
ensembl:lncRNA